rnacentral:misc_RNA from 1 species
UUUCCGUAGGUGAACCUGCGGAAGGAUCAUUCCCAAGUGGGGGUCUCUCAGCCCCGCCCUCCCCCCCUUUGUUUUUGUACCCUUUUUGCUUUGGCGGGCCCGCCUCGAUGAGAGGCCGCCGAAGGCUCACCGCUUUGGGCCCGUCCCCCCCAGUAGCCCCCCUAAAUUCUUAAUAAACCUGCCUUCUGAUUCUAGAUAUAAAAAAAAAAACUUUCAACAACGGAUCUCUUGGUUCUG